GGAACAUCAGAAGGGAACCAACACCACGACCAGAAAGACGGGAACAUCUAGGUUCGGCAGCGGCGUGUCUUAACACCUGAACACCACCACCAUGGCUGACCCGGAAAAACAGCCCGAACAAUCAAAGGCUGUCCAGCCGAAGCAGGUCAUCGCUACCAAAGUGACCGGGACUGUGAAAUGGUUCAACGUGAAGAGUGGAUACGGAUUCAUCAACAGGAACGACACCAAGGAGGACGUGUUCGUUCAUCAAUCGGCGAUCGUGAAGAACAAUCCAAGGAAGAUUGUCCGUAGCGUCGGUGACGGAGAAGUGGUCGAGUUCGACGUGGUGAUCGGCGAGAAGGGUCACGAAGCGGCCAACGUAACCGGUCCUUGCGGGGAAGCGGUCAAGGGUUCGCCUUACGCUGCCGACAAGCGACGCGGAUUCCGCGGAGUUCACUGGUACAUCAGUCAGAAACGUGGCAACACUCGAACUCAGCGCAGACCGCGCGAGGGUCAGGAGGGCUACGAAGCCGGCGAAGGCAAAUCCGCGGACGAAGCUAACGUCGGCGAAGGUGGUGGACAACAGCGGCGUUACAGGGUCCGAAGGCCGUACGACGGUUACUAUCGCGGGCCGAGACGAUCCGGACCAUCGGCGCAACAGCACACCGACAAUUCCGGCGAACCCGAAGAACAGGAGGGCGAGGGAACAGGUGGCGAAGGUGUGCCCCGCGGCGGCGGUGCUCGCGGCCGCGGCGGAGCUUCCCGCCGCUACUAUCGCCGCAAUUUCCGCGGAGGCAGAGGUGGCGGUCCACCGCGUCGACCUCGCAGCCAGGAUGGUCAAACAAAAUCGGAGCAGAAGUCGGAUGCACCUAUAGAUAAGGAUGCACCUGCCGCUGCCCCUGCUCCACAGGAAAGUCAGCCGGUUCAGAACACCACUACCGAAAGCACCGCUUAAUCAACAGCAAUGGUACCACCACGACAUAACCACUCCUUUUAACAAGUAACACCAACACCCGUUAUACACCGAAGCAGCAGCAGCAGAAACAGCAACAACAACAACAACAACAACGUAACAAAAGAAUCGAACAAAAAAAAAUCUAAAAAAAGAAAGAAGGAAAGCAAAGAAACUAACGAAUCAACGGUACACCGCGCUCUCCUCGGAAGAACGUCGCGUUCUCGAUCGUUUCCUCGAUCGCAGGGUCUCUCUAGGAUCGCUGCGAUAUCUCCGGGAGAACUACGUUGUAUUUUCGUAGAAAGUUUCGGCAAUUGUUAUCGCGGAGAAAGGAGGGAAAGAAUAGAAAGAAGAGAGGGUGACCGACAGCGACCGUCCGCGAAGCCGGCAAACGAGUCGACGACGAUGCGGCAUGUAUUCCGCGCGUUCGACCAUGCUACCGACGAAUGGUUCGCGGGGAUGCAGGCGCGCGACGCUCGUGUCUCGCUCGCGACGAAGAAAAGAAGCGGAGGAAGCGCCGGAUGCACCGACGGUCGACGAACGACGGACAAUGGACGACUGACGGAACGAUGGACGAAAAUCGCGACUGCGACCAAUUCGGUGUACACGAUAGAGGGCAAUCUUGAUCGGAGGAAAGAACGAAAUCGCGGAAAAAGGGAAGAUGCACGGUGAUAUAGGGCAUAAGGACGCGACAUCAACUCGUAUGGACGAAAUUGCUAUUUUUGUUCUUGUUUUUGCGUAUUCAUUGUUUCAUAUGUUUUGAUUUUUCUUCGACGAAACGCAUUCGAUCGUUCUACAUAGACGUCUUUGAGUUUAGUACGAUAUAUACGUGAGGUUCUCUUGUUGCGUACAUCCGUAUACGUAUCCGUUAUCGUGGCGAACGCGCGUUAUUCGCGCGCAAACGCGGAACAACCGAAAACCGUGGGUGGUUCCGUCGUUUGAAAUUCUCUGAAAAUUUUGCCGUUCCUUCGAACGCGCGUUAAACGUUGCGACUACGUUUUGUUUCGUUUCGUUUCGUUUCGUUUCGUUUCGUUUCGUUUCGCUGCGUUACGUUACGUUACGUUUCGACGAACGGAAGUCCGACGCGCGUCGUUUUCAUCUUCCUCGAUUCUCGAUCCUCGCUCGUUCCACUGAUCCGAUCGCGACGAUGCGAAAGCAAACGAGACAGCGUUCCGUUCGAUCGAUCCGGCGACAAUCGUUCGGUAGAUCGAUCGGGACGGUCAACUCGGCCGGUGUGCCCCUGGCGGGCCCCAGGUGCGAUCUGUCCAUGGUUUUCGGAUCGACGCCAUUCCACGAUUGCGCGAUUAUUCCAAGACUCGCGCGCGUCGAUUGCGUACGAUAUUAAGAAAUCGCAGUUAUUCUGCUACGACUCGAUUGACGACGCAAAUCCCUGACUUGUCAAUGGAGUGAGAGAGUAAAAGGAAUACAGAAACAAAAAGAGAAACAAGAAUGAGUGAGAGGAACAGAGAGUUUGUGUGCGUCAAUGUAUGUGUGCGUCUGUAUGCGUGCGUGUGUGCGUGUGACAGGAUAGGAGAGAGAGAGAGAGAGAGAGAGAGAGAAAGAGAGCGAGAGAGAGAGAGAGAAAGAAAUUUAUAUGUUUUUGCAUGAAAACAAAACUACUUUUUUAAAUUUUAGUUUGUAGUCAUAUCGUCGGAAAAUAAAGUAUACAAUUUUCUUCAACAACG